rnacentral:rRNA from 1 species
UACAGAGGGGGCAAGCGUUGUUCGGAAUUACUGGGCGUAAAGGGCGCGUAGGCGGCCUGCUAAGUCGAACGUGAAAUCCCUGGGCUCAACCCAGGAACUGCGUCCGAUACUGGUUGGCUUGAAUCCGGGAGAGGGAUGUGGAAUUCCAGGUGUAGCGGUGAAAUGCGUAGAUAUCUGGAGGAACACCGGUGGCGAAGGCGACAUCCUGGACCGGCAUUGACGCUGAGGCGCGAGAGCCAGGGGAGCAAACGGG